rnacentral:tRNA from 1 species
UAGAUUGAAGCCAGUUGUGUUGGGCAUUUAGCUGUUAACUAAAUUUUUGUAGGUUAAAAUCCUGCCGGUCUAG